rnacentral:rRNA from 1 species
UGUCAAGCUACAAAGGGCUCACGGAGGAUACCUAGGCACACAGAGGCGAUGAAGGACGUGGUUACCUGCGAUAAGUCUCGGGGAGUUGGAAGCACACUUUGAUCCGGGAAUUUCCGAAUGGGGCAACCCCUUGAACGACCAACGGAAUAUAUAGGAUGGGUGCGAGCUAACCCAGCGAACUGAAACAUCUUAGUAGCGGAGGAAGAGAACUAUACC